CCUACGGGAGGCAGCAGUAGGGAAUAUUGCUCAAUGGGGGAAACCCUGAAGCAGCAACGCCGCGUGGAGGAUGAAGGUUUUCGGAUUGUAAACUCCUUUUGUUAGAGAAGAUAAUGACGGUAUCUAACGAAUAAGCACCGGCUAACUCCGUGCCAGCAGCCGCGGUAAUACGGAGGGUGCAAGCGUUACUCGGAAUCACUGGGCGUAAAGAGCGCGUAGGCGGGAUAGCAAGUCAGAUGUGAAAUCCUAUGGCUUAACCAUAGAACUGCAUUUGAAACUGUUAUUCUAGAGUAUGUGAGAGGUAGGUGGAAUUCUUGGUGUAGGGGUAAAAUGCGUAGAGAUCAAGAGGAAUACUCAUUGCGAAGGCGACCUGCUAGAACAUAACUGACGCUGAUGCGCGAAAGCGUGGGGAGCAAACAGGAUUAGAUACCCCAGUAGUC
rnacentral:rRNA from 1 species